UAUAAUGCAGUCGAGCGAACUGAUUAGAAGCUUGCUUCUAUGACGUUAGCGGCGGACGGGUGAGUAACACGUGGGCAACCUGCCUGUAAGACUGGGAUAACUUCGGGAAACCGAAGCUAAUACCGGAUAGGAUCUUCUCCUUCAUGGGAGAUGAUUGAAAGAUGGUUUCGGCUAUCACUUACAGAUGGGCCCGCGGUGCAUUAGCUAGUUGGUGAGGUAACGGCUCACCAAGGCAACGAUGCAUAGCCGACCUGAGAGGGUGAUCGGCCACACUGGGACUGAGACACGGCCCAGACUCCUACGGGAGGCAGCAGUAGGGAAUCUUCCGCAAUGGACGAAAGUCUGACGGAGCAACGCCGCGUGAGUGAUGAAGGCUUUCGGGUCGUAAAACUCUGUUGUUAGGGAAGAACAAGUACGAGAGUAACUGCUCGUACCUUGACGGUACCUAACCAGAAAGCCACGGCUAACUACGUGCCAGCAGCCGCGGUAAUACGUAGGUGGCAAGCGUUAUCCGGAAUUAUUGGGCGUAAAGCGCGCGCAGGCGGUUUCUUAAGUCUGAUGUGAAAGCCCACGGCUCAACCGUGGAGGGUCAUUGGAAACUGGGGAACUUGAGUGCAGAAGAGAAAAGCGGAAUUCCACGUGUAGCGGUGAAAUGCGUAGAGAUGUGGAGGAACACCAGUGGCGAAGGCGGCUUUUUGGUCUGUAACUGACGCUGAGGCGCGAAAGCGUGGGGAGCAAACAGG
rnacentral:rRNA from 1 species